AGAGUUUGAUCCUGGCUCAGGAUGAACGCUAGCGGCAGGCUUAACACAUGCAAGUCGAGGGGCAGCGGGGAGGAAGCUUGCUUUCUCCGCCGGCGACCGGCGCACGGGUGAGUAACACGUAUGCAACCUGCCCCUGUCAGGGGGACAACCCGCCGAAAGGCGGGCUAAACCCGCGUACAUGCCACCGGGGCAUCCCGGAGGCAGGAAAGGCUUCGGCCGGACAGGGAUGGGCAUGCGGCGCAUUAGGCAGUAGGCGGGGUAACGGCCCACCUAACCGACGAUGCGUAGGGGUUCUGAGAGGAAGGUCCCCCACACUGGUACUGAGACACGGACCAGACUCCUACGGGAGGCAGCAGUGAGGAAUAUUGGUCAAUGGUCGGGAGACUGAACCAGCCAAGCCGCGUGAGGGAUGAAGGUACAGAGUAUCGUAAACCUCUUUUGUCAGGGAACAAAGGCGGGGACGCGUCCCCGGAUGAGUGUACCUGAAGAAAAAGCAUCGGCUAACUCCGUGCCAGCAGCCGCGGUAAUACGGAGGAUGCGAGCGUUAUCCGGAUUUAUUGGGUUUAAAGGGUGCGCAGGCGGUCUGUUAAGUCAGCGGUCAAAGCCCGGGGCUCAACCCCGGCCCGCCGUUGAAACUGGCAGUCUCGAGUUGGAGAGAAGUAUGCGGAAUGCGCGGUGUAGCGGUGAAAUGCAUAGAUAUCGCGCAGAACUCCGAUUGCGAAGGCAGCAUGCCGGCUCCACACUGACGCUGAGGCACGAAAGCGUGGGUAUCGAACAGGAUUAGAUACCCUGGUAGUCCACGCAGUAAACGAUGAAUGCUGGCUGUCCGGGGGGACUGACCCCUGGGUGGCGAAGCGAAAGCGAUAAGCAUUCCACCUGGGGAGUACGCCGGCAACGGUGAAACUCAAAGGAAUUGACGGGGGCCCGCACAAGCGGAGGAACAUGUGGUUUAAUUCGAUGAUACGCGAGGAACCUUACCCGGGCUCAAACGGGGAGUGACUCAGGCAGAGACGCCUGUUUCCCACGGGACACUCCCCGAGGUGCUGCAUGGUUGUCGUCAGCUCGUGCCGUGAGGUGUCGGCUUAAGUGCCAUAACGAGCGCAACCCCCGCGUGCAGUUGCUAACAGAUAACGCUGAGGACUCUGCACGGACUGCCGGCGCAAGCCGCGAGGAAGGCGGGGAUGACGUCAAAUCAGCACGGCCCUUACGUCCGGGGCGACACACGUGUUACAAUGGGUGGUACAGCGGGAAGCCAGGCGGCGACGCCGAGCGGAACCCGAAAUCCACUCUCAGUUCGGAUCGGAGUCUGCAACCCGACUCCGUGAAGCUGGAUUCGCUAGUAAUCGCGCAUCAGCCAUGGCGCGGUGAAUACGUUCCCGGGCCUUGUACUCACCGCCCGUCA
rnacentral:rRNA from 1 species